rnacentral:rRNA from 1 species
UGGCUCAGAACGAACGCUGUGGCAGCGUGGAUUAGGCAUGCAAGUCGAACGGGAAGCUGAUGAUCAAUCCUUCGGGAGAGUGAUCAGUGGAGAGUGGCAAGAGGGUGAGUAACACGUGGGUAAUCUACCCUGAAGUUCGGGAUAACCCCGCGAAAGCGGAGCUAAUACCGGAUGUGGUUAUUUCUUUUAUGGGAAAUGAUUAAAGGCGGGGAUCUUUCGGGACCUGUCGCUUUAGGAGGAGCCCGCGCCCCAUCAGCUUGUUGGUAGGGUAAAGGCCUACCAAGGCAUACGGGUAGCUGGUCUGAGAGGAUGGUCAGCCACACUGGGACUGAGACACUGCCCAGACUCCUACGGGAGGCUGCAGUCGAGAAUCAUUCACAAUGCGCGAAAGCGUGAUGAUGCGACGCUGCGUGGAGGAUGACGGCCUUCGGGUUGUAAACUCCUGUCAUGAGGGAACAAUAUGUCCGGUUCUAACAGGGCCGGGAGUUGAUGGUACCUCAAGAGGAAGCCACGGCUAACUCUGUGCCAGCAGCCGCGGUAAUACAGAGGUGGCAAGCGUUGUUCGGAUUUACUGGGCGUAAAGGGUGCGUAGGCGGUUUCGUGUGUCGGAUGUGAAAGCCCACUGCUCAACGGUGGAAUUGCAUUCGAAACUGCGGAACUAGAGUACAGGAAAGGAGAGCGGAAUUCCUGGUGUAGCGGUGAAAUGCGUUGAUAUCAGGAGGAACACCGGCGGCGAAGGCGGCUCUCUGGAAUGUUACUGACGCUGAGGCACGAAAGCUGGGGGAGCGAACAGGAUUAGAUACCCUGGUAGUCCCAGCCGUAAACGGUGCGCACUUGGUGUAGGGGCCUUGACCGUCCCUGUGCCGUAGCUAACGCGUUAAGUGCGCCGCCUGGGGAGUACGGCCGCAAGGCUAAAACUCAAAGAAAUUGACGGGGACCCGCACAAGCGGAGGAGCAUGUGGCUUAAUUCGAUGCAACGCGAAGAACCUUACCAGGGCUUGACAUGCAGCUGCACGCCCCGUGAAAGCGGGGAAGCUUUCGAAGGUGCUGCACAGGUGGUGCAUGGCUGUCGUCAGUUCGUGCCGUGAGGUGUUGGGUUAAGUCCCGCAACGAACGCAACCCCUAUGUUUAGUUGCCACCGCAAGUGAUGAGCUUGCGAGCACUCUAGACAGACUGCCCGUACAAGCGGGAGGAAGGUGGGGAUGACGUCAAGUCAGUAUGUCCCUUAUGUCCUGGGCUGCACACGUGCUACAAUGGUCGGUACAAUAGGAAGCAAAGCCGCGAGGCCGAGCAAAUCCCCAAAGCCGGCCCUAGUUCGGAUUGGAGUCUGCAAUUCGACUCCAUGAAGCUGGAUUCGCUAGUAACGGCGCAUCAGCCACGGCGCCGUGAAACGUUCCCGGGUCUUGUACACACCGCCCGUCACAUCAUGAAAGCCGUCUGCACCCGAAGUCGCUGGACCAACCCGCAAGGGGGGAAGGCGCCGAAGGUGUGG